AUGCGGGCGGCGGCCUGGAACGCGGGCGGCGGCGCACCGGCCUCCCCUCCCCCCGGCCCCGCCGCCUCCUUCCGUCCUCCCGUCUGGCGCGCAGCAGCCGCCACCGCCCGAGCCGCGGGCGGCGCGCGAAAUGGCGCCCGUCUGACCGCCUCGCCCGGCGGAGGGGAGCGCGGGAGCCGCGGCCGCACGACGCCCCGGGGCUCGCGGCCCCAGCCACAGCCUCCGCGACCACCCUCCGGCCUGGGGCGCUACGCCCUGCGGGCUCUCGGGCCCGACCCGGCGAGGGGCCGCCGUCCGCCCGGACCCCCCAACGACAACUGGGAAGGGGGAGGACGGAGGAGGGCGGCCGCCAUUAGCACUUGCAGCCCGGCCCGCCCGGCCCCGGCCCCGGCCCGGGCCCCGGCCCCGGCGGGCGGCUCAGCUCUAAACCUGAAAAUAAAACUCGUGCUUGGGAGGGAGGAGCGAGCGCGGCCGGGAGAACAGGCACGGCUCGGUGGCAGGCGGGAGAGAUGCUGCGUCAUGGUGCCAACAUGGACGCCGGCCUUUUGUCCUUUUCUGCUUGGGAAGCGCAGGCACGCCCCGGAGCCCCGAAAAGCCGGCUUCGGAGUGCGAGCCCCGCCGUCACGAGAGACAGAGGUCCUAGGCCGGGCGGGGAGGCUUCCUCGUCUUUUGAGCCCCCCACCUCCAAAAACACUUCAAUUUCCUCCUCCCCAUCAAGGUUCAGACCUAGAAAAGCUAGAGGGACGACCGCAGGCGGCUCCCUGGAUGCCCGAGCUCGCCGGGGAGCCCCUCCCCUCCCCUCCUGGGCAGAAGGGGCAGAGGGUUUGCGGAGCCUUGGUCCCCCCACCCCUCCCCACCCGUUGCCAAACACAAAGCUCCAGAAACCUCCUUCUCCCCUCAGCUCCCAAACAUUUGCAGCCCUUGGCCUGCUGGAAAAAAGAUUUCCUCGAAGGGGCAAAAGGCACUUUUUUUUUUUUUUUUUUUUGGAACUUACCCGCUCAGCCCGGUGCCAUGGAGUCUGGAAGAUCAAGCUGGGCGUAG
rnacentral:lncRNA from 12 species